rnacentral:rRNA from 1 species
GACGAACGCUGGCGGCGUGCCUAAUACAUGCAAGUAGAACGCACAGUUUAUACCGUAGCUUGCUACACCAUAGACUGUGAGUUGCGAACGGGUGAGUAACGCGUAGGUAACCUGCCUGGUAGCGGGGGAUAACUAUUGGAAACGAUAACUAAUACCGCAUAAUAUUAAUUAUUGCAUGAUAAUUAAUUGAAAGGUGCAAUUGCACCACUACCAGAUGGACCUGCGUUGUAUUAGCUAGUAGGUGAGGUAACGGCUCACCUAGGCGACGAUACAUAGCCGACCUGAGAGGGUGAUCGGCCACACUGGGACUGAGACACGGCCCAGACUCCUACGGGAGGCAGCAGUAGGGAAUCUUCGGCAAUAGACGAAAGUCUGACCGAGCAACGCCGCGUGAGUGAAGAAGGUUUUCGGAUCGUAAAGCUCUGUUGUAAGAGAAGAACGGGUGUGAGAGUGGAAAGUUCACACUGUGACGGUAUCUUACCAGAAAGGGACGGCUAACUACGUG